rnacentral:rRNA from 1 species
CCUACGGGCGGCAGCAGUGGGGGAUAUUGCACAAUGGGGGGAACCCUGAUGCAGCGACGCCGCGUGGGUGAAGGAGCGUUUCGGCGCGUUAAGCUUCAUUUGCAGGGAAGAAAAUGACGGUACCUGACUAAGAAGCCCCGGCUAACUACGUGCCAGCAGCGGUGGUAACAUGUAGGCGGCAAGCGUUAUCCGGAUUUACAGGGCGUAAAGGGCGCGUAGACGGUGCAGCAAGUCUGAUGUGAAAGGUCGGGGUCCAACCCCGGGACAGCAUUGGAAACUGGUGAACUGGAGUACAGGAGAGGUAGGCGGAAUUCGUAGUGUAGCGGUGAAAUGCGUAGAUAUUAGGAAGAACACCAGUGGCGAAGGCAGCUUACUGGAGUGUAACUGACGUUGAGGCUCGAAAGCGUGGGGAGCAAACAGGAUUAGAUACCCCGGUAGUC